CUUGAAUUAAACUCAUAUUUGAUCCUACCUUAACAAUUUGUGAAAGAACCCAGAACAUACAAGAGACGAAAAAUGUCCGAAAAAGAAAGCUCCAUUAAAAAGAAACUACCUGUUAUUUUAAAUGGCCAAUUUUUUAAGCCAGAUGGCAAAUGUGUAUUGUGUGUAAAUAAAAAUUAAAUUCGACGAAAAUUCAACUGGAAAUUUACACAAACAUCUUAAGAUUGGGCAUCCCUCUGCGCUUCCGUCUGGUCUUCUUUUCGGUUUGCUAGUGAUUGCUAUCUGCUGUGUGAAAGAGGAAGAGGGCCUCGAUAGACGACGCCGUUGGUAAUCGAUUUUUCCCUCUCUUUUUUUUCAGUAAAAGCUGGUCUGACCUAUUUACCACACUAGAGCGGGUCUGUCAUUUUCCAAUACUAGACGGGUCUAGUUUAGGUUGUGAAUUUAUCGGUCUGGUAUUUAGUGUUGACCUAGUAUUUAUCGGUCUCGUCAUUUAAGAGUGUAUCGAGUCCGGCUUGUCUGGUCUUACUUUGGUUUUAUCGGACAAUCGAUAGUGGCGAUAAUUUUAAGCGUGUGUAUAUCGGUUGGUAUUUUUAAUUAGUGUUGUCCUAGUAUUAAUCAGUCUUGUAGUGGUGCGGUCUCAUUCAUUCAUGCGUUUUAACGGCGUCAGUUGUACGGUCUCUCUUCGCUUAGCUUGGUGUAAAAACGUGUUCCGCUUGCAAAUUUUUACCUUUUUGCUGGCUGUUGCUGGAUACUGGGCUGGUAAUACAUUUUAUAAGGUGCCGCACGUGUAGAGGAAAUAACUAAUGGCUCUCUUCUCUUCCUUACAGGAAAUCUCGUCGUCAUUUCGCUGUGGUGUCUGUCAUCAGGCAGUUUUGUGUUCAUACGGCGAUCAGCGGGUCUAGGCAAGGCGUAAUUUGGAGAAAGGCAGCA
rnacentral:sRNA from 1 species